rnacentral:rRNA from 1 species
UACAGAGGGUGCGAGCGUUAAUCGGAAUUACUGGGCGUAAAGCGUGCGUAGACGGUUAUUUAAGUCGGAUGUGAAAGCCCCGGGCUCAACCUGGGAAUUGCAUUCGAGACUGAAUAGCUAGGGUGCGGUAGAGGGAAGCGGAAUUUCCGGUGUAGCGGUAGAAAUGCGUAGAGUAUCGGAAGGAACAUCAGUGGCGAAAGCGGCUUCCUGGACCAGCACCGACGUCAGGCACGAA